UUAAGCGACUAAGCGUACACGGUGGAUGCCCUGGCAGUCAGAGGCGAUGAAGGACGUGCUAAUCUGCGAUAAGCGUCGGUAAGGUGAUAUGAACCGUUAUAACCGGCGAUUUCCGAAUGGGGAAACCCAGUGUGAUUCGUCACACUAUCAUUAACUGAAUCCAUAGGUUAAUGAGGCGAACCGGGGGAACUGAAACAUCUAAGUACCCCGAGGAAAAGAAAUCAACCGAGAUUCCCCCAGUAGCGGCGAGCGAACGGGGAGCAGCCCAGAGCCUGAAUCAGUGUGUGUGUUAGUGGAAGCGUCUGGAAAGGCGUGCGAUACAGGGUGACAGCCCCGUACACAAAAAUGCACAUGCUGUGAGCUCGAUGAGUAGGGCGGGACACGUGGUAUCCUGUCUGAAUAUGGGGGGACCAUCCUCCAAGGCUAAAUACUCCUGACUGACCGAUAGUGAACCAGUACCGUGAGGGAAAGGCGAAAAGAACCCCGGCGAGGGGAGUGAAAAAGAACCUGAAACCGUGUACGUACAAGCAGUGGGAGCACGCUUAGGCGUGUGACUGCGUACCUUUUGUAUAAUGGGUCAGCGACUUAUAUUCUGUAGCAAGGUUAACCGAAUAGGGGAGCCGAAGGGAAACCGAGUCUUAACUGGGCGUUAAGUUGCAGGGUAUAGACCCGAAACCCGGUGAUCUAGCCAUGGGCAGGUUGAAGGUUGGGUAACACUAACUGGAGGACCGAACCGACUAAUGUUGAAAAAUUAGCGGAUGACUUGUGGCUGGGGGUGAAAGGCCAAUCAAACCGGGAGAUAGCUGGUUCUCCCCGAAAGCUAUUUAGGUAGCGCCUCGUGAAUUCAUCUCCGGGGGUAGAGCACUGUUUCGGCAAGGGGGUCAUCCCGACUUACCAACCCGAUGCAAACUGCGAAUACCGGAGAAUGUUAUCACGGGAGACACACGGCGGGUGCUAACGUCCGUCGUGAAGAGGGAAACAACCCAGACCGCCAGCUAAGGUCCCAAAGUCAUGGUUAAGUGGGAAACGAUGUGGGAAGGCCCAGACAGCCAGGAUGUUGGCUUAGAAGCAGCCAUCAUUUAAAGAAAGCGUAAUAGCUCACUGGUCGAGUCGGCCUGCGCGGAAGAUGUAACGGGGCUAAACCAUGCACCGAAGCUGCGGCAGCGACGCUUAUGCGUUGUUGGGUAGGGGAGCGUUCUGUAAGCCUGUGAAGGUGUACUGUGAGGUAUGCUGGAGGUAUCAGAAGUGCGAAUGCUGACAUAAGUAACGAUAAAGCGGGUGAAAAGCCCGCUCGCCGGAAGACCAAGGGUUCCUGUCCAACGUUAAUCGGGGCAGGGUGAGUCGACCCCUAAGGCGAGGCCGAAAGGCGUAGUCGAUGGGAAACAGGUUAAUAUUCCUGUACUUGGUGUUACUGCGAAGGGGGGACGGAGAAGGCUAUGUUGGCCGGGCGACGGUUGUCCCGGUUUAAGCGUGUAGGCUGGUUUUCCAGGCAAAUCCGGAAAAUCAAGGCUGAGGCGUGAUGACGAGGCACUACGGUGCUGAAGCAACAAAUGCCCUGCUUCCAGGAAAAGCCUCUAAGCAUCAGGUAACAUCAAAUCGUACCCCAAACCGACACAGGUGGUCAGGUAGAGAAUACCAAGGCGCUUGAGAGAACUCGGGUGAAGGAACUAGGCAAAAUGGUGCCGUAACUUCGGGAGAAGGCACGCUGAUAUGUAGGUGAAGUCCCUCGCGGAUGGAGCUGAAAUCAGUCGAAGAUACCAGCUGGCUGCAACUGUUUAUUAAAAACACAGCACUGUGCAAACACGAAAGUGGACGUAUACGGUGUGACGCCUGCCCGGUGCCGGAAGGUUAAUUGAUGGGGUCAGCGCAAGCGAAGCUCUUGAUCGAAGCCCCGGUAAACGGCGGCCGUAACUAUAACGGUCCUAAGGUAGCGAAAUUCCUUGUCGGGUAAGUUCCGACCUGCACGAAUGGCGUAAUGAUGGCCAGGCUGUCUCCACCCGAGACUCAGUGAAAUUGAACUCGCUGUGAAGAUGCAGUGUACCCGCGGCAAGACGGAAAGACCCCGUGAACCUUUACUAUAGCUUGACACUGAACAUUGAGCCUUGAUGUGUAGGAUAGGUGGGAGGCUUUGAAGUGUGGACGCCAGUCUGCAUGGAGCCGACCUUGAAAUACCACCCUUUAAUGUUUGAUGUUCUAACGUUGACCCGUGAUCCGGGUUGCGGACAGUGUCUGGUGGGUAGUUUGACUGGGGCGGUCUCCUCCUAAAGAGUAACGGAGGAGCACGAAGGUUGGCUAAUCCUGGUCGGACAUCAGGAGGUUAGUGCAAUGGCAUAAGCCAGCUUGACUGCGAGCGUGACGGCGCGAGCAGGUGCGAAAGCAGGUCAUAGUGAUCCGGUGGUUCUGAAUGGAAGGGCCAUCGCUCAACGGAUAAAAGGUACUCCGGGGAUAACAGGCUGAUACCGCCCAAGAGUUCAUAUCGACGGCGGUGUUUGGCACCUCGAUGUCGGCUCAUCACAUCCUGGGGCUGAAGUAGGUCCCAAGGGUAUGGCUGUUCGCCAUUUAAAGUGGUACGCGAGCUGGGUUUAGAACGUCGUGAGACAGUUCGGUCCCUAUCUGCCGUGGGCGCUGGAGAACUGAGGGGGGCUGCUCCUAGUACGAGAGGACCGGAGUGGACGCAUCACUGGUGUUCGGGUUGUCAUGCCAAUGGCACUGCCCGGUAGCUAAAUGCGGAAGAGAUAAGUGCUGAAAGCAUCUAAGCACGAAACUUGCCCCGAGAUGAGUUCUCCCUGACUCCUUGAGAGUCCUGAAGGAACGUUGAAGACGACGACGUUGAUAGGCCGGGUGUGUAAGCGCAGCGAUGCGUUGAGCUAACCGGUACUAAUGAACCGUGAGGCUUAACCUU
rnacentral:rRNA from 1 species